rnacentral:misc_RNA from 1 species
UGGGUCUCCACUCAAAGUCGAAUAGUGG